AGUGGGGGAAUGUUUAUUUUUCGAGAAAUUUCUAUAAGAGACCGGAACUUUUACGAAUUUAUUACAUAACAACGAGUGAAAUAUAAAAUGCCCAUAAGUCAGGGGGCCAUUUAGAAUCGAAUCGAAGAGGAGACGGGACGAAGCUACCGCAGAUUCGGAAACGCCGCGGCCGCGCUUCCCCUCCCCGUCUAUUUCCCUGCCGACGACGCCUCCUCUUCGGCCGAACAGGCGGUUCCGGCCGGUUCUUCUUUCAGCGCCGACGGUUCAUCUGGUACUCUCUCUCUCUCUCUCUCUCUCGGUCGAUCGAGCUGAUUAGCUUGAUUGUUCUCUUCUUUCUCUAUUGAUGGAAAAGGAGAAAGGAUUGGAAGCCUUGAUGAGCAUGCUUCAGAACCGCCACUCAUUUGCCAUGACUCAGUAAUAGAAUCCACUUCUAGGCGUUUGAUGCCCUGGAAUUCCACAGUGCAAGUGGAAUUGGAGUUUGAAAAUUUAAGAAACGCACCUCCUGCAUCAAACACAUGGUUUCCUGCAGCCGCAUUCUUCUUCGCACCACCGAAGCUUCUUUGCGGCACCAUCUCAGUCCAAGCUUCUUUGCAGCACCGUGGCAGUCGAAGCUUAGAUCGAAACGGAAGUUGCUUGUUGAGACAACACCUCUUUUGGCUACCGAACAGGUGCCUGAGCAAUGAGGCGCGAAGGUAGUAGGGCUUAAGCUGUGGCGCCAUGGCCCUCGAGCGAGGUACUUUCCAAGACCUCCGUCCGUAUCGGUUUCUUUCCUUCUCCUUCCCUAACCCUAGCAACGCCACCGGUGGCCAUGGUCCCUCGUUACGGAUCGCUGUCCUCGAUUCUCCAUCCUGCGGCGGCACUUUUCCUCCUGCUGAUCCUACGGUCGCAGCAAUGCUGGUCCCGAUCGGCCGGGAGGACGAUUGGAUCUUCUCGACCGAGGCCGGGCACCAUCAGCUCCUCUCGUCUUCUCGCGUCUCCCGGUUGAUCCUCGUCGGAAAUCUUCCUCGCACAAAGGGGCGGAUUCCUUGGGUUAUCGCCCCGCCGGAGCAGGGUCCGUGCAUUGAGGCCUUCCAGACCAGCCUGGUUCCGCUUCUUCUAGCGUUGUCACCCCGGAUUCUCUUCCGCUGCGGCGUCGUUCCAUCUGUUCCCUUCCUCCAGUACGAGGAUGACGUGGUCGGCCUCUCCGUCGUCGAUGAAACCGUGGGUCCUGUCGUGGGAGAGAUGCUGAUUGAAGACGUGGAGGUGCUUCCGAGAGAGGGGUUGGUGAAGGGGCCUGGCGUUACGGAAUUCAGGAGGAGACUGAGGUUCAAAAGAAUGCCGAAUCUGGUUCAGACGGAGGUCCCUUUAAUCAAGGUUUCAGAUUCCAAGUCUUCAUUGCCCGAUCUUAGGCGUUUGGUGCAUCCGUAUCUUCCGCCCAUGGUUGCAGGCCUUUCUUUGGUGGCUCCACUUUUGGAAGAGUGCGGUGGAUCAGGUUCUCGCCCUCGUCUUCUUUGCAUAGGAGUUGGAGGUGGCGCAUUGCUGGGGUUCCUUCACGAGCAUUUUGAGUUUCACGUCAUUGGAGUUGAAAUGGACAAAGUGGUUCUGCAAAUUGCGGGGCAUCAUUUUGGGCUGGUUGAAAAUGAGUUUCAUAGGGCUUAUGUUGGCGAUGGGAUUGAAUGGCUGGUAGAUUUAGCUCAGCAGGCUGUCCAAUUCGGCCUGGCUUCUGAUGAUUUAGCAAAUCUUUGGAACCAAUUGAAUGUUUCAGAGUUGGGGUUCGGAGGAGAGAACCUUUCCAGCUUGAAAGAUGGAGCUCUUGGUUGCACAAAGAGAGAAUCCUUUGUAUCAGGAAGCUGCCCACUAAGGGCUGGCGUUGACGGAUCAUUGGUUCACGUAAUUCUCAUAGACGUGGACUCCAAUGAUGCUAGAACUGGACUGAGCGCUCCACCAGUGGAAUUUGUUAGAGAGAGAGUGGUUCUAGCUUGCAGGCUAGCUCUUCAUAGUCGUGGAAUCUUGGUGAUAAAUGUUAUCCCGCCAAGCAAGUGCUUCUAUAACAACAUGGUGUCUGUCUUCAAAAAAUUCUUCUUGGAACUGUAUGAAAUAGAGGUGGGUAAUGGUGAAAAUUAUGUGCUUAUUGCAGCUGCUUCAUUUAUGGAUUCCGUUGAUGAAGAUAGUUUUAUCUCAAAGAAGCUAAGACAAAUCAUAGACAACCAGUUCUUUGACCAAAUACGAAAGAUCUGAAGCCAAAUGGGAAACUGCUGUCACUUGCAAGCUGCUUAGGGAGAGUGAAAUGUGGAUUGGGAGUUGAAGAAAGCUUCAAGCUAAUUUUUUGGUCAAGCAGGGAUUUGGUUUAUUUCAAUCGCUGUAAGGCUGAAAUAUUGAAAGGGUUCAGCUGCAGCAUGGGAUUCUCACAUUUGCUGAUUGCCGUGGUGCUGAAACUGACUAACCUUCAUGAUAUACUUAAUAACUCCUGACAAGAUGACUAUGUACGUAUGAAGGGAUUUUAUUUGAGGAAAGAUGGUCAAAGUUGGGCUUUUAUUUCUAAGCAGCUCUUUGUGGUGGUAACACUAGCCUUAGAUUUAAGUGGAGUGAUGUUAUAUCACAUUUCAAGGUGAAUUGCUUAUCUGGCUUCAGACACUAAUUCAUGAUGAACCUGAACAAGAGUUUCAAACACUUCUCUCCCUGCCACCAUAAAUUCCAAUUUUGGGCAACAGAGAAUAAGCUUCAGAACAGCCAUGCGAGCCUUGUGUAUUUCAAAGUUAAAUGUAUGUGUUGAUUCUUUACAACAUCUGUACAGAUUAACUGUAAAGAGCUUGCAAAGUCUUCACAAGAAGUUUCAAAGUUUGCAACUGUUGCACUGGUAGAUGUUGAUUCUGAGGAGAUCCAAUCUUUGUUAAAUAUUUUGACAUCAAAUGAUACCAUCUACUAUCUUUUUCUUCAAUGCA